AUGAUGAAACUCGACUGCAAAAUAUCCCUGAAGAUGUUCUAGCUUCUCAGUUUAAGGAACUCCUUAGGUAUUGGAACUCAGAGAAACUCCAUAGAAUGUCCCAAAUUAAUAUUGAGAACCGAAAAAAGUUGAAGAAUUCUCACACUGCUGGAAAAAGAAGUUUUGCUUUAGUUCGCUCUAAGUUGGAAAACGAUAAGGAAACUUCGG